UCGCCGUGGUAGGGUGGGACACGUUCGAAAGGAACGCUAAUACCGCAUACGUCCUACGGGAGAAAGCAGGGGACCUUCGGGCCUUGCGCUAUCAGAUGAGCCUAGGUCGGAUUAGCUAGUUGGUGAGGUAAUGGCUCACCAAGGCGACGAUCCGUAACUGGUCUGAGAGGAUGAUCAGUCACACUGGAACUGAGACACGGUCCAGACUCCUACGGGAGGCAGCAGGU
rnacentral:rRNA from 1 species